rnacentral:rRNA from 1 species
UAUCUUGUCAGAUUGAACGCUGGCGGCAGGCCUAACACAUGCAAGUCGAACGGUAGCACAGAGAGCUUGCUCUCGGGUGACGAGUGGCGGACGGGUGAGUAAUGUCUGGGAAACUGCCUGAUGGAGGGGGAUAACUACUGGAAACGGUAGCUAAUACCGCAUAACGUCGCAAGACCAAAGAGGGGGACCUUCGGGCCUCUUGCCAUCAGAUGUGCCCAGAUGGGAUUAGCUAGUAGGUGGGGUAACGGCUCACCUAGGCGACGAUCCCUAGCUGGUCUGAGAGGAUGACCAGCCACACUGGAACUGAGACACGGUCCAGACUCCUACGGGAGGCAGCAGUGGGGAAUAUUGCACAAUGGGCGCAAGCCUGAUGCAGCCAUGCCGCGUGUAUGAAGAAGGCCUUCGGGUUGUAAAGUACUUUCAGCGGGGAGGAAGGUGUUGUGGUUAAUAACCACAGCAAUUGACGUUACCCGCAGAAGAAGCACCGGCUAACUCCGUGCCAGCAGCCGCGGUAAUACGGAGGGUGCAAGCGUUAAUCGGAAUUACUGGGCGUAAAGCGCACGCAGGCGGUCUGUCAAGUCGGAUGUGAAAUCCCCGGGCUCAACCUGGGAACUGCAUUCGAAACUGGCAGGCUAGAGUCUUGUAGAGGGGGGUAGAAUUCCAGGUGUAGCGGUGAAAUGCGUAGAGAUCUGGAGGAAUACCGGUGGCGAAGGCGGCCCCCUGGACAAAGACUGACGCUCAGGUGCGAAAGCGUGGGGAGCAAACAGGAUUAGAUACCCUGGUAGUCCACGCCGUAAACGAUGUCGAUUUGGAGGUUGUGCCCUUGAGGCGUGGCUUCCGGAGCUAACGCGUUAAAUCGACCGCCUGGGGAGUACGGCCGCAAGGUUAAAACUCAAAUGAAUUGACGGGGGCCCGCACAAGCGGUGGAGCAUGUGGUUUAAUUCGAUGCAACGCGAAGAACCUUACCUGGUCUUGACAUCCACAGAACUUUCCAGAGAUGGAUUGGUGCCUUCGGGAACUGUGAGACAGGUGCUGCAUGGCUGUCGUCAGCUCGUGUUGUGAAAUGUUGGGUUAAGUCCCGCAACGAGCGCAACCCUUAUCCUUUGUUGCCAGCGGUUAGGCCGGGAACUCAAAGGAGACUGCCAGUGAUAAACUGGAGGAAGGUGGGGAUGACGUCAAGUCAUCAUGGCCCUUACGACCAGGGCUACACACGUGCUACAAUGGCGCAUACAAAGAGAAGCGACCUCGCGAGAGCAAGCGGACCUCAUAAAGUGCGUCGUAGUCCGGAUUGGAGUCUGCAACUCGACUCCAUGAAGUCGGAAUCGCUAGUAAUCGUAGAUCAGAAUGCUACGGUGAAUACGUUCCCGGGCCUUGUACACACCGCCCGUCACACCAUGGGAGUGGGUUGCAAAAGAAGUAGGUAGCUUAACCUUCGGGAGGGCGCUUACCACUUUGUGAUUCAUGACUGGGGUGAGUCGCAAAGGGGGAACCCCCAACAAUGCGACCCCACGUGGUUUCGCUACAGAUUCCAGUUGUUUUCCCCCUCCGUCAUGCCCCCUCCCAUACCUUCCUCACCCGUCCGCCGUUUUCGCGCGAGAG